GACGAACGCUGGCGGCGUGCCUAAUACAUGCCAGUUGAGCGCUGAAGGUUGGUACUUGUACCAACUGGAUGAGCAGCGAACGGGUGAGUAACGCGUGGGGAAUCUGCCUUUGAGCGGGGGACAACAUUUGGAAACGAAUGCUAAUACCGCAUAAAAACUUUAAACACAAGUUUUAAGUUUGAAAGAUGCAAUUGCAUCACUCAAAGAUGAUCCCGCGUUGUAUUAGCUAGUUGGUGAGGUAAAGGCUCACCAAGGCGAUGAUACAUAGCCGACCUGAGAGGGUGAUCGGCCACAUUGGUACUGAGACACGGCCCAAACUCCUUCGGGAGGCAGCAGGAGGGAAUCUUCGGCAAUGGACGGAAGUCUGACCGAGCAACGCCGCGGGAGGGAAGAAGGGUUUCGGAUCGUAAAACUCUGUUGGUAGAGAAGAAAGUUGGUGAGAGUGGAAAGCUCAUCAAGUGACGGUAACUACCCAGAAAGGGACGGCUAACUACGUG
rnacentral:rRNA from 1 species